ACAAAGCCUUGCACUUGGGGAACAAUACUACUUCAAAAGAAUGUAAAUCAUUAUUUGAGGAACUACAAGCAGAGAUUGAAAGCCUUAAACGUGCACAAUUCCUUCUGAAUGAAACAAAUUAAAUGACCAUGAAUAUAUAAAGGAAUCGAAUUAAUAAGGAACAGAGCUAGAAUCUAACAAUCAUAAAAUAAAAUAAAUUAAAAGGAGAAUAUAAAGAUGUAAAUUCAGAAAUUCGUAAAGUUGUUUAUAUGAUGUUCGGCUAUAGAGUGGAUCAUAUUGGAAAUAAUGGAUAUUGUAGAGUUUCCAGCAUGUAUGCGGAGAGUCCAAAUGACUAUAUAAAUGAUUACUUGUAUUUGAUGAUAAAAGUAAUUUAAAAUAAUUAGAGACUCCUUUAAACUAACUUUAAAAGAUUUUAUUGAUACACUUUAAAUUGAC